UGUGUCUAGCGGGGGAACGGAAUUUCCUAGGACAACGAUUCUUUCAUCAGAUUGUGUCUAGCGGGGGAACGAAAUGUCCUAGGACAACGAUUCUUUCAUCAGAUUGUGUCUAGUGGACGAACGAAGUGUCAUAGACCAACGAUUCUUUCAUCAGUUUGUGUCUAGCGGAGAAACCCGAUGUCGUAGGACAACCAUUAUUUCAUGUGAUUCUAAAUAUUCUAGUUGUUUAGCAUUGUCAGAUACAACAUCUGUGUUUAAUACAUGGGAAAGCUGCAAAUGUGGUAUUUUACCACAGUACGAUAGAAGAAUGCCCCUCCAACUGCGGGCCGGUUAUCAAUUAUCUGGGCUGCUUAGUUCGACAUAGUUGGUUUAGCGCUGCUGUGUGGUGCGCACGUGUUUUGUUAAUUAAUCGAACAAGGUGACAAUUUCUCGCGUUUCUUGAUAUUUUGUAGCAUUACUAGAUUCGAUUGACAAUGAGAGGCAUUGAGUAGUAACCGCCCAGUGUAACGCACAACAAAUGAUUUGAGUGAUUCUUUGCGGCGCGUGCGUGAUGUCCGUCGGAUAUGUUCCGAUGACUAUGGAUACUUACUGGAGUCCAAGUUAAAUUUAAUUGUUAAACGUGAAUGCAAGUGAGUACAUUUGGAAUCUCCACGUAGAAUAGUAAAGAAGUGCGUAUC